rnacentral:rRNA from 1 species
UACGUAGGGUGCAAGCGUUAAUCGGAAUUACUGGGCGUAAAGCGUGCGCAGGCGGUUUUCCAAGACAGAUGUGGAAAUCCCCGGGCUUAAACCUCGGGAAUGGCAUUUGGUGACUGGAAGGUCUAGAGUGAUGUCAGAGGGGGGGUAGGAGUUCCACGGGUGUAGCAGUGAAAUGCGUAGAGAUGUGGAGGAAUACCGAUGGCGAAGGCAGCCCCCGUGGGAUGACACUGACGCUCAUGCACGAAAGCGUGGGGAGCAAACAGG